rnacentral:rRNA from 1 species
CACGUAGGGGGCAAGCGUUGUCCGGAUUUAUUGGGCGUAAAGAGCUCGUAGGCGGCUUAGUAAGUCGGGUGUGAAACCUCCAGGCUCAACCUGGAGACGCCACCCGAUACUGCUGUGGCUAGAGUCCGGUAGGGGAGCGUGGAAUUCCUGGUGUAGCGGUGAAAUGCGCAGAUAUUGGGAGGAACACCAGUGGCGAAGGCGGCUCACUGGACCGGAACUGACGCUGAGGCGCGAAAGCGUGGGGAGCAAACAGG